UGAUUCAGACGAGCGAGCAACGAGCGAGUGAAGUCUCUCCUCGAGCUCAGGGUAAAGCAUAUCAACAACAAAAGCCAUUCUUUCACUUCUGAAAUAACAUAAAAGGUUCUGCACGUAGCCUAGC